CUAUGUAUACCUGUCACUGCCCGCCCUCCCCCCACCAUACCCCAUCAUGAAGGAAAGGGGAGGGGAAGGAGAAGAAGAGGGGAGGGGAGGGAGAGCCACCUGCCAGCGGCCAUCACGAGCACCCCAGCUGGCCCCGCGUAAGGUGUAAGGAAUCUUGACUCACCUGGUCAUCAGCCAUCUUUGUUGUGUUCGGGGUGAGAUAAAUUAAGACAACAACUGUUUGACUUCAGAAUUAAGAGAAAAAAAAAGUUACCUCCUGAUAUGUUUACUGCGCGGCGCUUGAGGAUGACCCCAUUGUUACACGCGACCAGCUUUCCCUCCCUCCUGGCCUUCCCCGCAGACUUCCACACUGGAGGACGAAAGUUGAUAAGCAAGCAGGUACGUGGAGGCGCCGACCACCACGAAAUGGUAGUGCGAAGCACUGAGGAGAGAAACUCACUGCUCCCGUCUUGUUGAAACGACUCCACGACGUCUCCUGUGCUUUGUUCUUAGAACAUCAGCAGUAACUCACCACUGCUUCUUAAUGUGUGCGUUUGCAAGUGCAACAGACGACUAAUAAGUUCACGAUGUGAACUUCGUUCACAUCGUGAAAAUUCCCUUUAAUGUUGUUGUUAUAUAACAACGAGUAUGUACAUAUAUAUAUUUUGUUUGCUUAUAUUUAUUGGACUGGUGGUGUGUAUUUUGAUUUACACAAAAUAGUUAGUAGUUUGCGUUCAGUAUCAGUGAUAAAAAGGUUCUUAUAGUUUGGUGGUUGAUAAAUUAUUGUCCUUACAAAAAAGAUGAGGUAUAAGGGCGUAAACUGAAA